GCAUGAAGCGUUGCAGAAACUCGCCACCUUCUUCCAGCAGAGCGGAAAAAGAGCUCUGCGACGUCCCCGAUGAAGACGGGCCGACGCCGACAAAGUAGAGCGUCUUCCUUUCAGACGCCGGCGUGUUUCCACCGCUGUGAUCGCUGUGAUGACUCGGCUUCUGCUUCUCCUCAGGUCGUCCUCCGCCUCUCCAGCGGAUGAAUCCUCAGGCCUCCUGCAGGGCGGUGGAGGAGCCUCCGUACCCUGAAGAAGAGGUUGACUUCACCCGACCUGGAGCUACUUCCUCCUCCUGCUCCGUUCGCCGACACCAGCCUGAGCCCGACGCCGCCUGAGCUCGCCAACUGGGGGGGUUCAGAAUUUAAUGCACUGAUUAUGUGUUUUUCCACCUCUGCCAUGGAGAAAAGAAACUAUCGUAAAAUCUCGCUCCUUUGUCAGGAAUACAACGGGAUGUAUUUGUUGUGAAUGCUUUUUGUGUAGCACACUUUUCUGUAAUCUCUUCAGAUUCAAAUGUUGUUCUUAA